rnacentral:rRNA from 1 species
CCUACGGGAGGCUGCAGUGGGGAAUAUUGCGCAAUGGGCGAAAGCCUGACGCAGCGACGCCGCGUGAGGGAUGAAGGUCUUCUGAUCGUAAACCUCUGUCAGCAGGGAAGAACGGUCACUUUGCUAAUCAGCAUUGAAUUGACGGUACCUGCAAAGGAAGCACCGGCUAAUUCCGUGCCAGCAGCCGCGGUAAUACGGAGGGUGCGUGCGGUAAUCGGAAUUACUGGGCGUAAAGGGUUCGUAGGCGGUAUGUCAAGUCAAGGGUGAAAUCUCCGCGCUCAACGUGGGAACUGCCUUUGAAACUGGCAGACUGGAGUGUGUGAGAGGAUAGUGGAAUUCCAGGUGUAGGAGUGAAAUCCGUAGAUAUCUCGAGGAACAUCAGUGGCGAAGGCAACUAACUGGAACAUAACUGACGCUGAGGAGCGAAAGCGUGGGUAGCAAACAGGAUUAGAUACCCGUGUAGUC